AUGGCUGGGAUUGUUGGAUGCGCGAGUGGCAGUAAAGAUGAGUCAAGUUGGUUACCGUGUAGCAUACUGAAAGUUGCGAUGCAUGGAGUUAUGCUUUGUGUUUGAGUUGUGUCGAAUCCUAUUUCGUCACAGUGUAUGCUGAAGGAUCCGCGUAAGGAGUGAUGCCGUCUCUUACGCUCUUCGGCCGCAAAUGGUUGGUGGCGUCGGACGACUUAGUGUUCCCCGGGAUCUUCGAGUUUGUCUUCAGGUUUAUAUGGCUGAUUCUGCUCUCUUUGGCGUGUGCCCGCUACUUCCCACACACGUGGUUUUGUUCUGAAGGGGGCGUCUUUGUGCGUGUGUACAUGAUAGGCGUGUUGACUAUCCUCGCUUGCAAUAUUGUCCUUUUGGUUCCACUGGUGAACAGGAGCGCCCAGGGUGCCAUCUUAGACACAGCAGCAAGGCGUGUGGUUGCCCCAAUUCUAACA